UACGUAGGGGGCAAGCGUUGUCCGGAUUUAUUGGGCGUAAAGAGCGUGUAGGCGGCCAGGUAGGUCCGCUGUGAAAACUCGAGGCUCAACCUCGAGAUGUCGGCGGAAACCAUCUGGCUAGAGUCCGGAAGAGGAGAGUGGAAUUCCUGGUGUAGCGGUGAAAUGCGCAGAUAUCAGGAAGAACACCCGUGGCGAAGGCGGCUCUCUGGGACGGUACUGACGGUGAGACGCGAAAGCGUGGGGAGCGAACAGG
rnacentral:rRNA from 1 species